AGUGCCCUCAGGGAGACAAAGAAGGUUUGCUACGGUGCUGGGUUUCUUCUAGAUGGGUGGAUGACCUGUAGUGACUCUAAGGAGAUUCAGUCAAAGGAAGAACUGUGGAAUGCAUUUGGAGAAUAGAGGAGGCAGAAUUCAGCAGAUGGCAGAAACCACCCUCUCCAAUACCCUGAAUAGUCAAUGUACCCCAAGUAUACACACUGUCACAACCGGAGGGACAGAGUGCAGACAUUUGACAGCAGAGGGCAGUCGCUGGCACACCUCAGUGGGACAUGGAACUCUGAAGACACUGCUCCUCCUGAUGCUUGACCGCUAAACUGAAGGCAGCCAUGAAAAUGGAUCCAGCAGCUGCCACAGACCUCCAGGCUGGCUGAGAGUGCUUUAUCACGGGAACAGAAGGAAACCCAGGACAACUGCUGGACAUUCAUACCUGCCUGUGCACCAUCUAAGCAAAGCAAGCGCUCAUCUUGAGAGUGAGGCUGAGCCCAGUGCCUCCGUCUGUUAGAUUCUGCUGCCUACCAAUCUCUGUCCAUUUAGCCUCACCACAGCAUGGCCUGUUUUUCUUUCUUCUGCCUCUGGAUUGAUUAGCUGCUUUGUGUCCCUGGGAAGAUGUAUUAUUAAUGACUUCUAUGAGAGACAAGGUUCAUGGUUUACAGAGUUGUCAGUCAGUGGCUACAUGGCUUCAAGGCCUUUGGCCAGACCAUCCACAAUGGCAGAAGAGCCUGAAAGAGAAGGCCAUUCGCCCUGUGGUCAUGACAACGAAGAGAGAGGACAGGACUGGGGUCCCAGCACAGCUUUCAAAAGCAUGCCCAAGUGAGGUCCCUGGCACAAGACCCCUCGUCCUAAAGGUUCUGCUUCCUCCCACUAAUGUCAUUGAUUGGUGACCCCCACCUUUAGUCUAUGGGUUUUGGGUAUGUUUAAUACUCCUAGGAGUUCCACAAAGCACCCCCAUUCCAUCUGAGCUCCUCUCUCUUGUGUCCCUAACUGUUCACUGGAUGCCAUUUUUAGAAUACACAAAUGUCCUUGUUCCUCUCAGACUAAACUAUAAAAACCACUCAGGGUAGAAAAUCCUUCACUUCCUUUUAAUCUCUUUAUAUCACUUAGUGGGAUUCUUAAUUCAUAAAUGAAUGAAAACCAAGGCUGAGCCUGCUUACAGAGAGCAGUGCACACUUGAUCAGGCUAGCUGAGGGUCCAGCCCAGCUCUGAGCUGCCUUGCCUACUUCAUUCACUAUCAUUACUGUUAAUCUCAGGCCCUCAGGCCAGAAAAGCAUCUAUCCCACAGCAAAAGAUCUCCUAGACAAUGAAGACUGUAUUUUCCCUUUGCUGGCAGGAAAAUUAUCUGUCAUCCAGGAAACCAUCUCUCUCCAUCACAGCUGCAAGAAGCAGGAAUAAAUUAAUAAAAUCAAGAUGUCUGGACCACCCUGGACCACAGCACUUCCUUGCACUUACUGUGUCUUGUUAAUGAAUGUCCCUAGCCCUAGAACAGUAAAAAUAUGUUAAUUUUGUGUACCUUUCUUUGUAUUUACAUCAUUAAUAAGGUAUUGGCUUUUGUAAUUUAGUUUUUCUCUUUGAAUACCACACAGUAAGUUACUUUUAUCCAAGGUAAUAUUGAUACACUUUGGGUUAAAUUCUACUAUGUUCCUCCUGUUACUUGCAUGGAUGCUGUCUUUUAUGGCCCUUAGUUUUAUGGCUUUCCUCUUGUGUUCCUAUUAAUUCUCCCCUUUUCAUUUCUUCAUCUUUAAAUUGGAAUGUGUUCUUUUCUAGUCCUAACAGCUACUCUAAAGCAUGUGGCAUUGAAGUUAUUAAAUUAAAAAAUUUCAAUCU
ensembl:lincRNA